UCCUGCACAUAAACGCCGGCCUGACGUUGCGUCAGGAACGUAUCUUGAUAAGGCGCGCCGUUGAACCGUGCUGUCGCCUGAUAGACUGGGUCAAGGACAUUGAUCGAAGUCGCGCCGCCAAAGCCUUGAAAGUCCUCGAUACCGUAGUGCUUGAGAUCAAGGCCUACCAAAGCGGUGUGCUGGAUCAGACCCGUGCCAAAACGAUACG
rnacentral:misc_RNA from 1 species